AACGAACGCUGGCGGCAGGCUUAAUACACGCAAGUCGAGCGCCCCGCAAGGGGAGCGGCAGACGGGUGAGUAACGCGUGGGAAUCUACCCAUCUCUACGGAAUAACGCAUGGAAACGUGUGCUAAUACCGUAUACGUCCUUCGGGAGAAAGAUUUAUCGGAGAUGGAUGAGCCCGCGUUGGAUUAGCUAGUUGGUGGGGUAAAGGCCUACCAAGGCGACGAUCCAUAGCUGGUCUGAGAGGAUGAUCAGCCACACUGGGACUGAGACACGGCCCAGACUCCUACGGGAGGCAGCAGUGGGGAAUAUUGGACAAUGGGCGCAAGCCUGAUCCAGCCAUGCCGCGUGAGUGAUGAAGGCCCUAGGGUUGUAAAGCUCUUUCACCGGUGAAGAUAAUGACGGUAACCGGAGAAGAAGCCCCGGCUAACUUCGUGCCAGCAGCCGCGGUAACAC
rnacentral:rRNA from 1 species